GAUGAAGAACGUAGCGAAAUGCGAUAAGUAGUGUGAAUUGCAGACUUUAGUGAAUCAUCGAAUCUUUGAACGCACAUUGCGCCCUGUGGUAUUCCGCAGGGCAUGCCUGUUCGAGCGUCAUUUCAACCCUCAAGCUCUGCUUGGUGUUGGGCCCUGCCCGCUGCGGCCGGCCCUAAAGACAGUGGCGGUGCCGCCUGGCCCUGAGCGUAGUACAUCUCUCGCUCCAGUGCCCGGUGGUAGCCUGCCAGAACCCCAACUCUCGUGGUUGACCUCGGAUCAGGUAGGGAUACCCGCUGAACUUAAGCAUAUCAAUAAGCGGAGGA
rnacentral:misc_RNA from 1 species